rnacentral:rRNA from 1 species
GACGAACGCUGGCGGCGUGCCUAAUACAUGCAAGUAGAACGCUGAAGAGAGGAGCUUGCUCUUCUUGGAUGAGUUGCGAACGGGUGAGUAACGCGUAGGUAACCUGCCUUGUAGCGGGGGAUAACUAUUGGAAACGAUAGCUAAUACCGCAUAACAAUGGAUGACACAUGUCAUUUAUUUGAAAGGGGCAAUUGCUCCACUACAAGAUGGACCUGCGUUGUAUUAGCUAGUAGGUGAGGUAAUGGCUCACCUAGGCGACGAUACAUAGCCGACCUGAGAGGGUGAUCGGCCACACUGGGACUGAGACACGGCCCAGACUCCUACGGGAGGCAGCAGUAGGGAAACUUCGGCAAUGGGGGCAACCCUGACCGAGCAACGCCGCGUGAGUGAAGAAGGGUUUCGGAUCGUAAAGCUCUGUUGUAAGUCAAGAACGGGUGUGAGAGUGGAAAGUUCACACUGUGACGGUAGCUUACCAGAAAGGGACGGCUAACUACGUG